UUUUUUUACACUAAUAACGAUAAUUAUGGUUUUUAUUUUUAUAGGGAGUAAGCCUGAAAUGUUGAAUAGAAAGAAAAAGAAAUUCAUUUUUAAGUUUAUUACGAGUAAAUGAGGCAAGGGUGAGUAAAAAUGUACGCAUGUGCACAUCUUAACAAAAAUCAUUCAAAAUUUUGUAAAAAUAGGUCAAUGAACCCGCUCUAACCUCACUUAUUUCAUUCAUAGUGCGAAAACUUCAGUUAUCAUAGAAUAUCAUUGCCACGUCAGUGUUAGUUAAUCGCAUAAUAAAAAAAAGUAUUAUUACCAGCUGUUUCGAUGCUAAUUGGGCCAUAUCUUGCACUGUUUUUAUAAAAAAAACACAAUCGCACUGAUUCUAACUUUUACACGUCGAGCCUCGAGCCACAGAUUGAGGGUUUAAUCUGUGCUCGAGCUGGCAGUAAAUAAAACACAGUCGAGUUCUGUUAAACCUGUAUAAUAGUUUGAAAAUAUAUAAGAACAAAAAUGGACCCAAUGGAGAAAAAAUUAGCAGAAUAUCGAGCUCGUAAAGCUCGGGAAGGAAAAAUCAACGAGAUCAAAGCAAAAACGAAAAGUUUCUUUAGUGAUUUUUGGAAGAAGAGGCCGAAAACACGUGAACCAAAGCCUACUGAGAAAGAGGUUUUGGUGCCCCACAGCCCCCCUGAAGACGAGUACCCUGAAGAUGCUUCCAGUGCUUGUAGCGAUGAUGAGAGUAUUAACUGUUUCUCGUAUGUCGAUUUAUUUUAUUAUUUGCUAUGGUUUGGACUUUGGAUUGUAUUGUAUGUCAUAUUCAUCGAGUUUCAAUUUGGUACUGUUUUUUUUAUUGUUUCUGCCAUCGUUUUCAUGUAUGUGAACACACGUACAGGGCCUAAGAAAGUGGGGGAGGUUAGUGCAUAUUCGGUGUUUAAUAAAAAUUGUGAGAGCAUUAAUGGAACUUUAAAGGCUGAACAGUUUGAAAGAGAGAUAAGAUAUGGACCUGCGGUUGUGCAUUAGGGAAAAAAAUAACAAUAUGCUGUGAUAUAAAGUGUUAAAUUAUUAUUUAUAAAAACAAUAGUAACCCCUAAAAUAGUGACUGAACAGUUAAUCGUCUGAAUUUUGUUCAUUACGGCAGAUGGGGGUAGGUACUCAUUUUUUAUUUCUUAAUUAUACACAUUUUACUAUUUCAUUGUUGGCAUUUAUUUUAAUAAAUAAUAAAAAAUCUAAAUAACAUCUAACAUCUUGAAAAAGUAUCCUAACAAAUAGUGGUUGUAAAAGGUAAUCUCUACGGAUUUAUAUUUCUUAAAUGAAAUCACAUUUUGUAUAAUUUGUAAUAUGAGUAAAAUAUUGAAGGACUGUUAUUACGUUUACAGUUUUUUAAUCUUAAUUAGUAGAAGGCAACUUUGGAUAAAGAAGUCGCUAGCUAAGAGAGAAAACUUAUAUGCAACUCAUACUUUAUAGCUAUAAAUCUUUGUUCGAAGCGGUCCCUGAAAAAAUUCAACAUGUACCAUUGCGGACCAAAAAAUGUGACAUCGAAAAGAAUUUUAGAAAAUUCAUUAGCUUUAAUGUCAAAUAUGGCUUUUCAAAAUCUUCAAAUCGUCCAAAAUGUCUGAAACUGACAACUAAUAUGUCUGAAUAAAAACGCGGUCAAUUAAUUCUGACUUCUAGUCUGUUCUAGACAGAAUUGAUUUUAAUCAAUAUUUAACGCAAGGUAGGUAUUCAAAAAAUAGUAAAUUUGACAGAUAACUGACAGGUAUAGACGUUAUUACACAUACGCUCAUAAAAUUUUUAGAGCACUCUUGACCACGGCUUUAUUCAGACACUGUUAGAUUAGUGGCAAGUUUUACACUUAAUAUCAACGGAAUGGCAAUGAUGUCUCAUUUUUUAGUUUUGAUAGCACUCGACGAUUAAAUUAACACAAUGCAUUUUUUAUCUUAAAGAGAAAUUGGACGAAAAUUACAACACCGUUUCUGGUUGGAACGUAUUUGGUUGUGGCAACAAUAUCAUAACACCAACAGCCAUCAAAACAUGCCACAGACUAUGCAAAUACUUAUAAUUAUUUGACGUUUCCAGAAAUAUGAAAAUAGUCAGCCCGACACAAACCACGAAGACUCCCAACGGUAUAAAAAUAUACAAAUACCUCUUGUGCAAAAACAACUGUUUAACUCUCUUCCAUUUUAAAAACCAAUUUAUCGCUAUGAUUACAAGACCCGAAACAACCGGCAAGAGAAACCCCCAAAUUCCAGUUUUAUUUAUAGUCGUCGUGAAAGACAAUAUAAUAGCGCCGGUUAUAUGACACAUAGUCGGCCAAUAAGACGGCAAGUCAGCAAUUGCGAUUAAUGUAACCCAAAUAGCCAGAAGGGCACAGUAGAAAUCGGCGAACUGCAGCGCCCCCAAGCGAGUGAUACAGAAACUAAUUAAAUUUUCACCGGCAUCACAGGCGUGGUAGAAGGUCGAGAAGAAACAAAUUGCGAAAUAAACGAUAGCUUCGACGUAGUAUUUGCGUCGAUAUGCUACAUACACCGUUGGCAAAAACAUCAAAUUGCUGAGGACUAACAAAAGAAGCUCGAUGACGAUCAUAUAGUAUGGAGUGGCUUGAGAGUCGUCGGAGCAAUCCCAACCUGGAACAAAAAACAGUUUGUAGACACACCCAAAGAAUCUUCUCGCUAUUUACCUCUGUAAUUGUCUGUGCACACACAAGUAGCAUACACAACGCCAUCGCAGACCAUAAACAUGCAUCUUCCGUGUUUACCGCAAUUGUUAGCACACGCCGUUGACGAAAUAUCGAAAAGUACACUAGAAUUGCACUCUUUUUUACUCCUGAGACAAGGCCCAUCACAGUCACAUUUCGCACAACCGUUGGAAUUGACAACUUCAGUCUUGCAGUCCAGUGAACAAUUGUUGCAAGUCUCUUUGUUCACACAAAUCGCUUGGCAGUCCCUGACACACCCUUUGAACUUCUUUUGACAAUCAUUAGGACAACUGCAAGGCACACAUUCGCCACAGAACAAUUUGAAGGUUGCAUACCAAACCCCCGAUUCGGGAUAGGGGAUCAUCAUAGAGGAAUUAUCACUAGAUUUACCCACUAUCAGGGGAGCCACAUUAUCAGUAUCGUCAUAAUUGCACAAAUUGGGCCAAGUUGGCAACUCUGGAGCCUCAGGCCGAAUACAAGCAAUGAUUUUGUUUUCUUCGGGCUCGGCCUCGAUUAUUCUCUUGAUUUUAUUGAUGCGUGGUUUGAACGCCAGGAUAAAUUGCAAGGUCCCCCCAAUAUCCGCAUGUUCCCGGAGCCUAAACUGAAGCACUGCUAAUUCCUUAUUGGUCAAAUUAACAGCAACAUUUGAUGAAAUCGUAAAUUUUUGUCUCAGUUCGUAUGAAUAUGAGAAGCUUUCAGUACUAGAUUCCCUUACUAAGUCGUACUGCUUGUAUUUGAUCACUUUCGUGAUUUGAUCGCUAUUGAAUAUUCGCCAAACUGAAUUAUUAGACGUCCUUUCAGAGUCUUCUGCGAAAUACUUGAGAGUGAAUUUGAGACUAGAUUUACUUUCGGUAGGUGAAGCAGGACCCUCAAAGAGAAAUUCGAUGUAAUGCCAGUUAUCCUCUUCCGUGUUGAAGGGAAUAGUGACAGACUUGUCGAUAAAAGAGGACUCUAUUAUUUCAGUCUUGAUUGUACUGUUUUCAGAUGGGAUGGAACGGGAUUGGAUACGAAUUAUAAGACGAGUUGCAGUCUUUGCGAAGGAGAUAUUGUCUACAAGGAAAGUGGCGUGUGUAACGAAUUCGGGGAUGAAGAAUGUAUAAAGAAUGCUGUGCGAAGUGAAGGUUUCGACGUUAUAUGAGGCGCCUUCUACGAUCUGGCCGGCGCUAGGACGUCGUUUUAUGUAUAGGGUGGUUUCCACAAAAGCGUAGCAUUCCGGGGUUAACUCUAAACAGAUAAAUUAGCUUGAGUUGUGGAGUUGCAGUAUUACCAACCUGGUGGUUGGAUGGACUCGUGCUUGGGGUCAUUAUAUGGCAAAAAAGCGUUUUGUCACUCAUCAACUCAAGGUAAAAAUAAUGUGACCUUGUAAUGUUUUUAAAACUGUCUGGGAAUUUUGACCCGUCUGGAUUGAUCACCGGCAAAGAUUUGUGUUUCAUGUACAUCAAUACUUUCCGUGGGUUACAACCUGCAACCAUUUAUUACAAAAAUAAACAACUGAUAUUUAAAAUUACCAAAUAUCGAGGCCUUGGUCUCAUCUGCCGUAAAUUUAAGUGAUGCAAAAGACACCUCUGAAGGGACUUCUACGUGCAUCACGACGACAUCGACGUAGCCCCCAUACUUCUGCAGGUAGGAUGUCCGAGUCUUGGACACGAUUUCCAAAUUUUCGUCCUCUUGGCAUUGUAUUGUUGGGUACAGAAGGAUUAAAAUUAUCCAUUUCAUUAUAGUCUUGCUGGAAGGUGAGGAAAACAAGGCUUUAAUUGCAGGAAGUUGCUUUAUGAGAUCAUCCCACUCGAUGUUUCUUAUCAACCAACGCACACAAUAUUUAAUUGUUUAAAAUGAAUGGAUUUAUUUUUAAAUUUUGGGCUCGAAUGUUGCCUUUCAUUGGUCGGCUCAAUAGUUUAUUAUUUGUUUGUUUAUGCCGAUAGAUGACAAAAAACACUUUGAGGUUAGGAAAUCAAUCGACUGUCAAAAGAAACGUCAAAAAGAUGGAGACACGUUGCCCAACUUACAAAUUUCAUCUCCGUUUAUUAACAUUUAUUUUAUAAAAUUACUUACAUUAAAAUAAUUAUAUUGCAACUUUUUAUAAUUAACUGGUUAGAAUAGAACGAUAUAUGACUCAAAAAUAAAAUUAAUUUUGUUUGU